rnacentral:rRNA from 1 species
UACAGAGGGUGCAAGCGUUAAUCGGAAUUACUGGGCGUAAAGCGUGCGUAGACGGUUAUUUAAGUCAGGUGUGAAAGCCCCGGGCUCAACCUGGGGAUUGCAUUUGAGACUGUGUAGCUAGGGUGCGGAAGAGGGAAGCGGAAUUUCCGGUGUAGCGGUGAAAUGCGUAGAUAUCGGAAGGAACACCAGUGGCGAAAGCGGCUUCCUGGUCCAGCACCGACGUUCAGGCACGAAAGCGUGGGGAGCAAACAGG